GCAUAUCAAUAAGCGGAGGAAAAGAAACCCAACAGGGAUUGCCCUUAGUAACGGCGAAGUGAAGCGGCAACAGCUCAAAUUUGAAAUCUGGCUCUUUUAGGGUCCGAGUUGUAAUUUGCAGAGGGUGCUUUGGCAAAGGUUGUGGUCUAAGUUCCUUGGAACAGGACGUCACAGAGGGUGAGAAUCCCGUACGUGGCCGCCAACCCGCGCUAUGUAAAGCCCCUUCGACGAGUCGAGUUGUUUGGGAAUGCAGCUCUAAAUGGGAGGUAAAUUUCUUCUAAAGCUAAAUAUUGGCCAGAGACCGAUAGCGCACAAGUAGAGUGAUCGAAAGAUGAAAAGCACUUUGGAAAGAGAGUCAAAAAGCACGUGAAAUUGUUGAAAGGGAAGCGCUUGCAGCCAGACUUGCCUGUAGUUGCUCAUCCGGGCUCUUGCCCGGUGCACUCUUCUAUGGGCAGGCCAGCAUCAGUCUUGGCGGUCGGAUAAAUGCGUGCUAAACGUACCUCUCUUCGGGGAGGACUUAUAGGGCACGCGGCAUACGACCAGCCGGGACUGAGGUCCGCGCAUCUGCUAGGAUGCUGGCGUAAUGGCUGUAAGCGGCCCGUCUUGAAACACGGACCAAGGAGUCUAACAUCUAUGCGAGUGUUUGGGUGUCAAGCCCGAGCGCGUAAUGAAAGUGAACGGAGGUGGGAACCCCUCGGGGUGCACCAUCGACCGAUCCUGAUGUCUUCGGAUGGAUUUGAGUAAGAGCAUAGCUGUUGGGACCCGAAAGAUGGUGAACUAUGCCUGAAUAGGGUGAAGCCAGAGGAAACUCUGGUGGAGGCUCGCAGCGGUUUCUGACGUGCAAAUCGAUCGUCAAAUUUGGGCAUAGGGGCGAAAGACUAAUCGAACUAUCUAGUAGCUGGUUCCUGCCGA
rnacentral:rRNA from 1 species